UAGGGAAUCUUCCGCAAUGGGCGAAAGCCUGUCGGAGCAACGCCUCGUGAGUGAUGAAGGUCUUCGGAUCGUAAAACUCUGUUAUUAGGGAAGAACAAAUGUGUAAGUAACUAUGCACGUCUUGACGGUACCUAAUCAGAAAGCCACGUCUAACUACGUGCCAGCAGCCGCGGUAAUACGUAGGUGGCAAGCGUCAUCCGGAACUAUUGGGCGUAAAGCGCGCGUAGGCGGUUUUUUAAAUCUGAUGUGAAAGCCCACUGCUCAACCGUGGCGGGUCAUUCGACACUGGCAAACUUGAGUGCAUAAUAGGAAGGUGGAAUUCCAUGUGUAGCGGUGCCAUGCGCCGCGGUAUGGCGGAACACCAGUGGCGACGGCGACUUUCUGGUCUGUAACUGACGCUGAUGUGCGAAAGCGGGGGGAUCAAACAGG
rnacentral:rRNA from 1 species